GUCCACGCCCUAAACGAUGUCAACUGGUUGUUGGUCCUUAGCUGGAUCAGUAACGAAGCUAACGCGUGAAGUUGACCGCCUGGGGAGUACGGCCGCAAGGUUGAAACUCAAAAGGAAUUGACGGGGACCCGCACAAGCGGUGGAUGAUGUGGUUUAAUUCGAUGCAACGCGAAAAACCUUACCCACCUUUGACAUGUACGGAAUCGCCAGAGAUGGCUUCGUGCUCGAAAAGAGAACCGUAACACAGGUGCUGCAUGGCUGUCGU
rnacentral:rRNA from 1 species